GAUGAACGCUAGCGGCAGGCUUAACACAUGCAAGUCGAGGGGCAGCAUGAGGGUUAGCAAUAACUCUUGAUGGCGACCGGCGCAAGGGUGCGUAACGCGUGAGCAACUUGCCCGUUUCUGGGGAAUAACCGGUGGAAACGCCGACUAAUACCCCAUAGCAUUGAUUUCAGGCAUCUGUUAUCAAUUAAAGAAUUUCGGAAACGGAUAGGCUCGCGUGACAUUAGCUAGAUGGCGGGGUAACGGCCCACCAUGGCUACGAUGUCUAGGGGUUCUGAGAGGAAGGUCCCCCACACUGGAACUGAGACACGGUCCAGACUCCUACGGGAGGCAGCAGUGAGGAAUAUUGGUCAAUGGUCUGACGACUGAACCAGCCAUGCCGCGUGAAGGUGACGGCCCUAUGGGUCUUAAACUUCUUUUGUAAGGGAGCAAUAAGGUCUACGUGUAGAUUGAUGAGAGUACCUUACGAAUAAGCAUCGGCUAACU
rnacentral:rRNA from 1 species